rnacentral:rRNA from 1 species
UACGUAGGGUGCGAGCGUUAAUCGGAAUUACUGGGCGUAAAGCGUGCGCAGGCGGUUCGCUGUGUCCUGUAUGAAAGCCCCGGGCUUAACCUGGGAAUGGCAUGGGAAACUGGCGGGCUGGAGUGUGGCAGAGGGGGGUGGAAUUCCGCAUGUAGCAGUGAAAUGCGUAGAGAUGCGGAGGAACACCGAUGGCGAAAGCACUCUGCUGGGCCGACACUGACACUGAGAGACGAAAGCUAGGGGAGCGAAUGGG